GCGGCGUGCUUAACACAUGCAAGUCGAACGAGAAAGCUCCUUCGGGAGUGAGUACAGUGGCGAACGGGUGCGUAACACGUUGGUGACCUGCCUUGAGGAGGGGGACAACCGUGGGAAACCACGGCUAAUACCCCGGAUGUCUAAACUGUUAGAGGGUUUAGACUAAAACUUCGGUGCCUCAAGAGGGGCCUGCGGGCUAUCAGCUUGUUGGUGGGGUAAUGGCCUACCAAGGCUAAGACGGCUAGGGGGCGUGAGAGCGCGACCCCCCACAAUGGAACUGAGACACGGUCCAUACUCCUACGGGAGGCAGCAGUGAGGAAUAUUGCGCAAUGGGGGAAACCCUGACGCAGCAACGCCGCGUGAACGAUGAAGGCCUUCGGGUCGUAAAGUUCUUUUCUAAGGGAAGAUAGUGACGGUACCUUAGGAAUAAGUCCCGGCUAACUACGUGCCAGCAGCCGCGGUAAAACGUAGGGGGCGAGCGUUAUCCGGAUUUAUUGGGCGUAAAGCGCACGUAGGUGGCGCUGUAAGUUAGACGUGAAAGCUCUCGGCUCAACUGAGAGAGGUCGUUUAAAACUGCAGUGCUUGAGGUUAGAAGAGGAGAGCAGAAUUCCCGGUGUAGUGGUGGAAUGCGUAGAUAUCGGGAGGAAUACCAGUGGCGAAGGCGGCUCUCUAGUCUACACCUGACACUGAGGUGCGAAAGCGUGGGUAGCGAACGGGAUUAGAUACCCCGGUAGUCCACGCUGUAAAACGAUGGAUACUAGGUGUAGGGGGUCAUUUAACCCCUCUGUGCCGAAGCAAACGCGUUAAGUAUCCCGCCUGGGGACUACGGCCGCAAGGUUAAAACUCAAAGGAAUUGACGGGGGCCCGCACAAGCAGCGGAGUGUGUGGUUUAAUUCGAUGAUACGCGAAGAACCUUACCUGGGCUGAACUACGUGGUAGUAGUGAAGCGAAAGCGGAUCGACCCUUCGGGGAGCCUCGAUAGGUGCUGCAUGGCUGUCGUCAGCUCGUGUCGUGAGAUGUUGGGUUAAGUCCCGCAACGAGCGCAACCCUCGUCGCUAGUUACAAGUGUCUAGCGAGACUGCCGGUAUCAAACCGGAGGAAGGUGGGGAAUGACGUCAAAGUCAGCAUGGUCUUUAUGUCCAGGGCUACACACACGC
rnacentral:rRNA from 1 species